rnacentral:rRNA from 1 species
GACGAACGCUGGCGGCGUGCUUAACACAUGCAAGUCGUGCGGUAAGGCCCUUUCGUUGGUACACGAGCGGCGAACGGGUGAGUAAAACGUGAGCAACCUGCCCUUCACUUUGGGAUAACUGCCGGAAACGGUGGCUAACACCGGACAUGACUUCCCUACGCAUGUGGGGUGGUGGAAAGCCUUCGGGCGGUGGGGGAUGGGCUCUCGGUCUAUCAGCUUGUUGGUGGGGUGAUGGCCUACCAAGGCUUCGACGGGUAGCCGGCCUGAGAGGGUGACCGGCCACAUUGGGACUGCGACACGGCCCAGACUCCUACGGGAGGCAGCAGUGGGGAAUAUUGCACAAUGGGCGGAAGCCUGAUCCAGCAACGCCGCGUGAGGGAUGACGGCCUUCGGGUUGUAAACCUCUUUCGCCUGCGACGAAGCGGGAGUGACGGUAGCAGGUAAAGAAGCACCGGCUAACUACGUG